rnacentral:lncRNA from 1 species
GAAAGAAUUGCAAGAAAUUCCAGAAUGUUGGGGGAACAUUCUAUGCCUUGGUUUACAACCAGUUACCCAACAAAGAGACAUGGGGCAUCAUGCCAUAGCUCCGUUCUCCUAGUGAUGCCACACAACAGACGUAGAUAAAAGCAAAAGCACAAGGUUUAUCUCAGGCUAUUAUUAAUCAAGCACUAUGUGAUCAAUUUUACACGUUGAAAAAAAAUGUGGGAAAAUGGAAGCUGGUAGGGUGAACCGGGAGAAAUGAAAGAGACUUGGAAGUAUUAAAGGAUGCAGGAAACAAGUAAAGAAGAAAGUUAACAGAAUAAGGAGACAGCAUUCUUGUACAAUUGUCUUCCAGCGGCAACAAAUGCCAGCAGAGGUGGGAUAAUGUGGAAGACACCAGGACAAACAAAAGAACAAGAAUGAGAUUUCGACAGCUGGCCAGAGAUGUGACUCAGGACCCCAGAGCUUGAUCAACAGAGCAAACUGAAAGAGCAGAGACACAGACCAGACUUCAAACCUUGCAUCAGCCCCACCAGGAGAUCCGCACCUGUGAGGCCUAGCCCGAGCCAUGGGCCGAAAUUUUUGAUGGAGCCAGUUGGACAACUGAGAGCCACGAGGAUCCCAUCAACUCAAACAUUCCGCUGUGGUGACGUUAUUACCCACCAGGUAAUAGGAUAUAAAGGCUAAAAGUCAAAGACAAGGGAGCAACUAAUCUGCGCUCUCUCCAAGGCAAUGACUCGAAUAAAAUGGAAAAGAACCUGAUCUGUAAGGCAAAUAAAUA